UACGGGGGGGGCAAGCGUUGUUCGGAAUUACUGGGCGUAAAGGGCUCGUAGGCGGCCAACUAAGUCGGAUGUGAAAUCCCCAGGCUUAACCUGGGAACUGCAUCCGAUACUGGAUGGCUUGAAUUCGGGAGAGGGAUGCAGAAUUCCAGGUGUAGCGGUGAAAUGCGUAGAUAUCUGGAGGAAUACCGGUGGCGAAGGCGGCAUCCUGGACCGAGAUUGACGCUGAUGAGCGAAAGCUAGGGAGCAAACGGGAU
rnacentral:rRNA from 1 species